GCAACUAUGGAAUCUAGUUUGCACAAGCACUUACGCUGCUACGCAUCGUGCAGAGAUUGUUCGGGGGUUUGACAGUUAUGCAUGGAUUGGGGAUUCUUUCUGCGUCACAUGAUGGUUCCAUCAUGUUAUGGGCACAAAGUGGCAAAGUAUUAAUGGUGAUGGUUAGUCAUACUUCCAUUGUCUAUUCAGUUGAUGCUCAUGUUUCUGGACUUAUUGUCAAUGGCAGUGAAGACCAUAUUGCAAAGAUAUGAAAAGGGUUUAGAGUUGAAAGAUGAAAUUAAA